CUUGCCUUGAAAUAAGAAAAGCUCUUCUUCCCAGAAUCCAAUCUAGUCAGACUUCUGAACUAGAUGACACACUCCUCCUUAGGAAGAUAAGCAAACUACUAUAUGAAAGACAAAAGAGGGAGAUAAAUGACUUCUUUGCAACAAACUAAACAUAUAGGUACUAUAGCAAUGAAGAUUUACAAAGUGCUAAUGUGAUGGCUCCACUUCUGGCACGAAGCCCAACGUGGAGCUUGAAAUCACAACCCUAAGAUCAAGACAUCAGCUGAGAUCAAGAGUAGGACACUUAACUGACUGAGCCACCCAGGCCUAUCUUCUCCACAUUGCUUUAAAGGUAAUACCUUGAGAACAACUCUUAGAAGCAGAAGAAUAAGCAUGUU